CAAGAUAUUUCCAGAAAAUGCUUCCCCAAAAAAAAAAACAACUCCAAUCCCCUUCUUCAUCUCCCUCAUUUUGGAACCAAAAUUUCCCGAAUAAAGAUCACCAAACUUCUGCCCCUCUUCUCUGCUGCUGCUUCUGUUUCCUGCAUUUCCUACAACUGCGUUCAUAAUUUACCAAUAGUUUCUUCAUGAAUGAUAUAGAGUUUGAAAAGUUAACCAACUUAGGCUCAAAAUUUACUCAAUUCGGAACCUUGAGCUAGGAGAUAUGGUCUUCCGAAACUCACAGUUGUUGCUGCCAACGUGCUCUUUCUUCCUUGUUAUUUCUCACUUUCACCACUUCUUAAUUGCGGUUUUAGCUUCUCAAUGGAAAGGUAAAUUGUUGGUGAUUAAUAUAUGGAGUUCAAGUGAAAUUUGGCGUUCGAGAUUAUGGAUUAUCAUUGGAGAUUAAAGUAUGAGAUGUGUUCUGGAAGAUUGAAUUCGGAUUAAAGCGAUCGAUGGUGAUCGAGAAAUUAGAUUCUUGGAGGUUAGGUGUGACAAUUGAAGAAUCCUUUUUAGUGAUUUUGCAGGUAUUGUAUACGCUCGGAUGUGGAUUACAGAUGUGAUUGAGGAAGGAAUAAUUUUAUUGAAAUAUUAUGAGGCUAUCAAAGAUUAUGAUAUGUUAAGAUCUCUUGUGUAUUUGUAGUUGAUUAUAAGGGUUAAUUCAGGUUUUGUUUUGUAAAUUAAAUUCCAAGUGUAAUUAGUGGGAAAUAAGUAAUUCUAAAUAGCAGCUCAAAAGUGUGGGCUGUUACAUAUUUGGUGAAAUAAGUUUUAAAUUUGGGGUAUUUGGUGAAUUAAGGUUUAACUAUAGGGUAAUAGUUUUCAAACUUUGGAGUAUUUGGUGAAUUUAUGAAAACUUGAAUAAGAGAUAAAAGUUCAGAAUUUACCCUCA